AUAUCCGCUGUUUCGGUCACAAUUUCCCUCAUGCAGUUCGUCCCUUUUUCCUCUAAAAAUUAUUUUUCCUUCGUAUUAACCCUUAAAAAGCUGAAGGGAGAGAGAGAGAGAUCCCUCCGUGUCUCAAUGGAGUUUUCUGACUAGUCUCUCUCUGCAUUUUUUUUUUUUUUUCAAGAAAGAUCGUAUUACGGCCAGAAAGGUGUACCAUGAUUUGGGAUAUCUUCUGCUGGAAAGAGAAAUGGUUGGAUCAGACGAGAACAAUCCGGGCGUGAUCGGACUCUCAAAUCUUCAAGAAGUUGAAUUUCGUGCUGGAGGUGGAAAAUGGGGUUUGGGCGUUGGACACAACCGGCGAGCGCUGAGCAGCAUUGACCGGAAUAUAAUAGGAGCGCCUCCUUAUCCUUAUGCUGUCAACAAAAAUUUCUUUUCAGAGUAGGUUCUCAUUCCCUAAUGUAUAUAUGGUUGCUGUGGGAAAACUCGAAUAAAUGUUGUCUUUUUGUUUUCUGUUACUUUGCAUAGUCGAUCAAUUCAAUAUAAGUAGGAAAC